rnacentral:rRNA from 1 species
UACGGGGGGAGCAAGCGUUGUUCGGAUUUACUGGGCGUAAAGGGCGCGUAGGCGGCCACCGCAAGUCGACUGUGAAAUCUCCGGGCUUAACCCGGAAAGGUCAGCCGAUACUGCGGGGCUAGAGUGCAGAAGGGGCAACUGGAAUUCUCGGUGUAGCGGUGAAAUGCGUAGAUAUCGAGAGGAACACCUGCGGCGAAGGCGGGCUACUGGGCCGAUACUGACGCUGAUGUGCGAAAGCCAGGGGAGCGAACAGG